UAUUUUCGAAAAGUGUUUGUGACUAACUAGCUGUGUUUAGAGUUAUUAAAUUGAAAAAUCUCAAGAUGUUAUUAUAUUGUUCACUUUUUGCUAUUCUGCUUCAUGGCGGUGCAAUCAGCAUGGCGAUAGUUUCGAAUGAAACACAAACGGUUGACUUUAAAUAUGAGCCGGGUUCAAUUGUGCAUUCAGGACGAGUGACUGUGCGUCAGAUAGAUGCUCCAGUGCAGCCAAUUUUCGUUUAUCGCAAGUUUCGCAUUCAAAAUACGGACAAUAGACAAAACAACUUGCUUAGUUUGCUGAACAUUGACAAUUGGUUGAAUGCAACGCAACAACAACACCAACAAUAGCAGCGAUAACAGCCAACAUACAUAGCAUAUACGCAUCGAAACGAUGAAUACAAGAGCAUACGACAUUGUAAAAUGAUUCUGUACAUUACCCAAACUUAAAUAAAUCGCGAAUUGGUGUGACAAUA